UAGUGAUAUUGAUUCAGGUGUCAGAGAUGCUUACCUUCCCUGUGUCUUAGCAAUUAUAGACUUUCCUCUGUAGGAGACGGAGUUAGGCAGUGCAAAGGGUCCCACAGGUAGGGGUGUUCAGAUCAUAGACUUAAAGCUUCAUAGAAAGUAAUUUCUUGUGGAAAUGACUUUCUGUUGUCACCAUAGGAGGUAACUCUCUAGUGGUCCUGCAUGGAACCAGGGCUCUAAUGGCAGCUCCUGAUCAGUGCUGGCCAACAUGAGAUCAUAGUGGAAAUCUCUGUUCCAGUGAUUUAAUCUGAAGUAGUUGCAUUCUGCAGCAACUUCAAGUCUGCUGCUUUCCUGCUUUUUGUCGGAGAUAUUUUAGUAACCAUGCCAGUUGACUGAUUUUGAUUUUUAUUUUUUUUAGUGUUUCAGAAUUUAAGUGAAAUUAUUUUAAAAACAAAGUGUUAUUUAUUAGAUAUACAAUUAUUGAGUUUAUUUUAAAGUAUUUUUGAAAUUUGAUGAAUAAAUGUUAGCAAAUGUUAUCUUUGGAAGCAACCCAACUAUGGGGCAACAGAAGUAAUAUGAAAACAAAGUAUUUGGGUCACUUGGGUUUUCCUUUAACUUUUGACCCCUUUUACGUUCUGCCCCACAUUUCAAUAAUCUUUCUGAAUAAUUUUCCUGCUCGAAAUGUUAAAGACAAGCACAUAUCCAGCAAACCAAACUUUUACUUGAUUUCUGAUACCUCUUUCAUUGAUAAUGAAAAUCAUAAAGGAAUUUGCCUAUUACCCCCAUGGACAAGAAAGACCUUUUUAUACUAGCCGGCAACUUGGAGUCAAUCCAGUAUCAUGUGGUUUCAGAAGUAAAUUUGUUUUUAAAUGCUGUUGCUUAAUGACAUUAAAAUAGUUCUCAAAUUGUGGUCCAUGGAGCACUUAUUGGCAAAGAGCUGACUGGUCACAUGAUGCUAACUCCUCCUUUCCAGCUGUUUAAAUUAUAUUAAAAGAAGCUAAAAAAAAAAAUAGAUGGUUUGUUAUCUUAUUGCAAUUAAUUUGCUGGGGAGGAGGGGGUAUGAAAGUUUAUAUGAAACUUUUGGAGGCCAUUCAUAAAUCUCCAUAGACCCUUAGAUUGCAGAGCCAGUAAAGGGUACUUGUGAUUCCUUACUGCCAUUCUCUGCUUUCUACAGGGGGUACACAACUUCAGCAGCAUACAGAUUUGUGAUAAGUAAUUGAUGUUAGUUAUCUCUCAGUGUAUUGUAAAUAAUGGCAAUAGUAAAAAUACAAAACUCAGAUCAGGAAAAGGAGCUGUAGAACCAAAAGACAUUGGUGUAUAUAUUUUUGGAGACUGGGUAGGGGAAACAGGAUGGAUUCCUUCCUGCUCAUAGUCUUGAAGCCUUGGCUAGUUAUAUUAGGGCUUGUCUACGCUACCACUUUUGUUGGUAUAAUUUAUUUACAUUUGUAUAAAACACACCCCAAAAUACAUAAGUUACAAUGACAGACAUGCUGGUAUGGACAGUGCUAUGUUGGCAGGAGAGCUUCUCCCGCCAACAUAGCUACCCCCGCUUGUGGAGGUAGCUUUAUCACGUUGAUGAGAGAGCUCUCUUCUGUUGGCAUAGAGGGCUACAUGAGCGAUCUUACUGCGGCACAGUUUUAUCAGUAGAGCUGUGUCGCUGUAAGCUCGCUACUGUAGACACGGCCUUUGGAAUUAAAAAGUGAAUUCUCUAGUAAUUGAAUCUGUUUUAAGGUGCUGUAGUUAUGGCUGGUGUAUAAGAUGUUCUGCGUUAAGAAGGCCUUAGCUUUAAGCUUUGGAAAUAGCAGCAUGUAGAAUGCUCUGGUUAGCUUGUCAGCUUUUUGGAUUAAAGACCACCUAUUUUUUGAGGUUUCUAGUUCCCAUAUAGUCAGGUGUCGGAACUUAAUGCUUUGGCACUGGGAACUGUUCACUUGCCAGCAUCAAGUGUGGGGGUGGAAGAUAUUGUAUGCCAGCACAAGAAUUAAUACAGCUCUUAUGGAUAAAACAUGAAAAAUGUAAUAAUGUUGAUCGUCUGCUAUAAGAUGAGAUUAUGUUGUAUUGUCCUAUUUGUACCAUUUGUUGUGUGAAAAUUGCUUUACACUAAAGAGAACUUUUUUCAAAAUUUUCGUUUUCAAUAGAAAUAUACUAAAUGCCCCUACUGCAUCAUAAAACUAACUGUAUUUUUAAGGUCUUUUUUUCUGAAUUUGAAAUUGAUUGUAUAAAUCUGUUUUCAUGCUUUCCAUGAGGAGGUUCAUGGGGAAAAUAAAAAAAACUAGGGAACUGAGUUCUUCAAAUUCUCGACCACAGCUGGUGAUAGGGCAGGGACCAAAAUCCAGUUUCUGCUGCUCAAACACACAUACAAUUUGUGGGCAUCUUGGUGGAUAUUUUAGGAGCUGAACACUGACACAGGUAAGUUUACAUGGCUCCCAACACCCCUGCUUCUUAACACCACUUGAGGGCUGACCAUUGAUCAGUUAUUUGAGUAGGAAGUGCUCCUUACAAAUUUAGGGCUUCAUGUCACAGGACUCUGAUGGAAAAGCCCACAACAGAUGUGAUUUCAAACAGCAUGGUCUUUAUCCACUAACUACAUAAGACUUGAAUAUCUGGGAUCUUGGUGAGGAGCUUUGUAUCACUUCUAUAGAUUCUUUUGUUAGGCACUGUACAUACAGUAGCAAAUUAAUUCUAAAUUUUGUCUGUUACCUUGAUCCAUAAAGGAUUUUUAAAGAAUAUUUUGUGACCAGUGUCAUGCAGCUUCUUGGUGGAAUUUAAUUUUUUCUUAAAUACAAAUUUUACUUCUAUAAUAUUUAGAAAUGGCUUUUAAAUCCAUUUAUUUUAAUGCACUGAAUGUGUCUGUCUGAAAUGAGUCUUGGUAAUAAAGAGUCCAUGAAGUGCAUUAAUCACUUCUUGCAUUUUAAACAAUUAAAGACUGAUUUUUUGGGAGGGGACCUGGGGGGAAUUCUCCCCUUAUUGUAAUUUUCACACAAACCUUUGAUAACCAUUUUGGGUGUGCAGUUGGAUACUUGAAUUUUAAGAGAUUAUGCUGCAGUGAGGUAGUAACAAAUACACUGUAAGGGACUGAAUCAUUCCAAAGAAGGGCCCAAGGGGUAAUGUAAUUCACCUUUGGAGAAAGUGGAUUCAUCUUGAAAUAAAAUUCUCCCCUUUGAAGGAGUUCUGUAUUUAAUGUCCCUUCCACUGAACUUGAUCCUAAAGGGCCAGAAAGCCCUUCAGCUAUAAGGGUGUCAGAGUUCAAAAACCGUAUGAAACUUCAAAAUAUUUAGAAUGCUGGAUAUAUAGAGCAAAAGCAAGAGGUGCUUGCCUGGAGUGGGUUGGGUCUCUUGAUUAGUAUUGAAUUUCAGACUGCAAGUUGUAGGCAGAAGGAAACUACUUUAAUCUGGUCUUCCACAUAAGGCUGAAGCGUUCCUCUAUCAGAAACCUUGAGUUAGGGGAAAGGUUUUUUACACACAUUAGUGUCAUUGGUUUUGUAGCACUUCAAAGUUCUGGAUAAGUCCAGUCAGCAAGAAGAUCUCUGGUAGUUCAACAGAAAAAGUGUAUAUACUCCAUGUGGGUGGCAAGUAUGUGCAAAUUCAGCCCUAGUUAACCCAAGGACAGGUCCAUUUACUUCACUGGAUUUAUCCCUGGUUAUAUCAGGAAUACAUUUGACCUGGUAUGGUGGUGUCAUUUGAAUGUUCUGAAUCCCUGAAGGAAAUAGAGUAGUUUUCAGGAAACUUUUCUGUAAAUAGCAUCAUAAAGGGCUUCUGUAUACUGUACAGCUGUUUUAAUCCCCUUCCAAAACUUUAUAAAUUAGUGAAAUAGAAGUCUUAAGCUUUGUUUACACUACGAACUUAUGUUGCUGUAACUACGUCACUCGGGUAUGGAAAAUCCACACCCCUGACCAACGUAGUUUAUAUAAACCUAACCCCAGGUGUAGAUAGUGUGAUGUCAACAGAAUGGCUUUUCCUAUCAACAUAGCUCCUACUGCCGACAGGAAAAGUUCUCCAGUCGGCCUAGGUAGCAUCUUCACUAAGCAUUACAGUGUUACAGGAUUUACUUAGGGCUUGUCAACACUUAAAACUUGUAAUACAUUCAGAUUUGAACAGAUUUCCUAACAGAUUUUGGAACUUUGCUGAUUGAUGACUUUAGAUCUAACUUCUGAUCAGUAAGUAUGAGGAAAAAUGGCCCAUGGAUGAGGCUUACUUAAGGCUUUCACGCUCUGUGGACAACAUCUUGCAAACCUGGAGUAAAAUAUGGGGGAAGAUGAAAGCACGUUUAAGAUUUUCAGAUCUUAAAUGUAAGCUCAAACAAUAAAAAACCUGGGUAAUUCACAGUUCUUUGGGGAAAGACAGAAUUAUGAGGUAAGCAAUGUAUCUGAUGAUGAAAAUAAGGGGACCCUAACUCACAGAAAUUGCUGGAAUAUAUAGUCUGUUGUGGUAUUUUGUUUAUCCAAAACUGGCUAAUACAAAUGGCACAUGGCUCAUUAGUUACAA